UUUUUUGAGUAAUUGACUUUGGUUGGAUAACAAAACUUGGGCUCAGCAAAUAAGAAAGGGGGAAAGGCUCUGCCUCGAAGAGGAGUACUACAGACAGUGACUCUGUUCAAAGUUCUGCUCUACUCUGGGUUCCCCACCUGGAGAUUGAAUUGGUCUGGAUUAGUGGCAGCAGAAGUUGAGCUGGCUCCAUGGUAUGGCUUGCCUGGACCUGUGGUAGCAGUGCUGAACUUCCUCAGACACUGAACUGGACCAUGUAGAUGCCCAUCAGAGUAGGAUGAAGUAGAACACUUCUCGCAGGACUGCAGCAGAGAAGAACUACUGAGACAGACAGUAAACUGGGGUUUAGCUACAUAAAUGAGCUUGGGGUCAUGGCCCCUUCUUCCCUUUCUUAUGGACUGCUGAUCAAGGGAAUUUGUGGCUGCAAUUACUUCAAAGAAAUGUAUCUUCAAGGUUCACUCAUUCCUUUCCUGGAAAAUAUUGGUUCCUAAUAAAAUACAGUGGCUUUGGAAGUCUGAAUGAUGAUGCCUUCUAGCAUCUGGCUUAGAGGGCAAGGAGACUAUUACUAGCAUGUGUUAAAGGAGUCUUCCUUUGAUAAAGACUAAAGUUGAGAGAGCAGAAAACAAGGCUUCUAGUCGCAGUUCAGCAUGGACUACAAUACAGGUCACAGGAUGGCCAAUAUCUAUACCGUUCUACCCAGCAGCUGUGAUAGGGCUGUAUCCAUGAUCACAGACUCUAUGGAGAGCACCACCACAAGAACUACCACCUCAGAAGGUUUCACUGACAGCUUCCCUCGUGAUCCUUGAAUAAUCCAGGCACUCUAUUUAAGCCUAGGUGGAGUUCCAGAAGGUGUCUAUGCAACAUGGUGGACUCCACUGUGAGCUGUCGUGAUGGAUCUGACUCCUGGUUCCUGAUGCUGACUUUUACCUUCAGUGCUGUUCCUGGUCUCUGAUCACUACUGUUCUGACCGCCAUGCCCUGGUCGUGAUAUCUAGCUGCUGAGGGGAACACAGCCUUUUUCCUGAGUUAUACAAUAAAGCCUUGAUCCUGCAAACUUGUGUGGUGGUGAGUUACUUGACUCACAUGAGAAAAGUGGUUCUAGGACUGAGGCCUCAAUAAUCACAUACAACUGAUCAAAUAUAGUAAUCACCAGGGAUCCUAGAUAUCCAUUU